rnacentral:rRNA from 1 species
CUAUGCGCCUUGCCAGCCCGCUCAGUGUGCCAGCCGCCGCGGUAAUACGUAGGGGCAAGCGUUAUCCGGAUUUACUGGGUGUAAAGGGAGCGUAGACGGCGAAGAAAGUCUGAAGUGAAAGCCCGCGGCUCAACCGCGGAAUGGCUUUGGAAACUUUUUUGCUGGAGUACCGGAGAGGUAAGCGGAAUUCCUAGUGUAGCGGUGAAAUGCGUAGAUAUUAGGAGGAACACCAGUGGCGAAGGCGGCUUACUGGACGGUAACUGACGCUGAGGCUCGAAAGCGUGGGGAGCGAACAGG